GAUGAACGCUGGCGGCGUGCCUAAUACAUGCAAGUCGAGCGAACAGAUGAGGAGCUUGCUCCUCUGACGUUAGCGGCGGACGGGUGAGUAACACGUGGAUAACCUACCUAUAAGACUGGGAUAACUUCGGGAAACCGGAGCUAAUACCGGGUAAUAUAUUGAACCGCAUGGUUCAAUAGUGAAAGACGGUUUUGCUGUCACUUAUAGAUGGAUCCGCGCCGCAUUAGCUAGUUGGUAAGGUAACGGCUUACCAAGGCAACGAUGCGUAGCCGACCUGAGAGGGUGAUCGGCCACACUGGAACUGAGACACGGUCCAGACUCCUACGGGAGGCAGCAGUAGGGAAUCUUCCGCAAUGGGCGGAAGCCUGACGGAGCAACGCCGCGUGAGUGAUGAAGGUCUUCGGAUCGUAAAACUCUGUUAUUAGGGAAGAACAAAUGUGUAAGUAACUAUGCACGUCUUGACGGUACCUAAUCAGAAAGCCACGGCUAACUACGUG
rnacentral:rRNA from 1 species